rnacentral:misc_RNA from 1 species
GAGCAUUUCAAAGUAUGGAAGAAUAGGGAAUAUUUUGGCAUUCCACAAGCAUUUUUCCAGAGUAUUCUCUGAGAUCCACAGAUCUGUAUCUUGAAUGCCUAGAUCAUCUAAAACCUUCCUCAAGGGUUUUCCACAAAAGGUACCAUUUGAGAGUGGAAUCUUUGGGUUAUCAUGGAUGCCACAGUACACAAUAACUCUUUCCGUGCGUUCCACUAAAGGAACCUCCCAAAAGCAAUGACGAUCUGGAAGCAUGAAUCUG